rnacentral:rRNA from 1 species
CCCAGACUCCUACGGGAGGCAGCAGUGAGGAAUAUUGGUCAAUGGACGGAAGUCUGAACCAGCCAUGCCGCGUGCAGGAAGACGGCUCUAUGAGUUGUAAACUGCUUUUGUACAAGGGUAAACCUGAAUACGUGUAUUCAGCUGAAAGUACUGUACGAAUAAGGAUCGGCUAACUCCGUGCCAGCAGCCGCGGUAAUACGGAGGAUGCGAGCGUUAUCCGGAUUUAUUGGGUUUAAAGGGUGCGCAGGCGGCACGGCAAGCCGGCGGUCAAAUCGCGGGGCUCAACCCCGCCCAGCCGUCGGAACUGCCGGGCUAGAGUGGGCGAGAAGUGCGCGGAAUGCGUGGUGUAGCGGUGAAAUGCUUAGAUAUCACGAAGAACCCCGAUUGCGAAGGCAGCUUACUAAACUGUGACUGACAUUGAUGCUCGAAAGUGUGGGUAUCAAACAGGAUUAGAUACCCGAGUA